UCUUUGCAACCGGCCAGUUCGUUUGUUUCCAUCCAUUUUCCCAUCGUUAUAACUGUGAAAAAAUGGAUUAUUCUCGCAACAAUAAAGGAAAUACCAAGACAAAGGAUUCGCAGGAUGACAAAACCCGUCAGUUGCUCACGAUUUACGCUACUUUCAAGAUUUGGAAAAAGUUCGAAUCUGACAGAGAGAAAAAUAAUAAUAAACAUCAUCAGCAGCAGCAGCAGCAGUCGACCCCCUGGUGCCUCUCUCACUCACUUUCUCAGAAGCCAUUCACCGGUCUUUUCUGAACGCCAUUUGACAUUCAAUCCAACCUCAAAUACCUCACAAAAUGUCUCUAGCUGGUCCUUGAAUCGAUAAUCUAGCAUGUCGUGCAACUUUAUAGUUAUUCGCCAAAACUUGUUCACCAUUUCCCCGAAACUGGACGAUAGGAUUUGCGUGCAGUUUUUUAUUUAUUUUCGGUCGAUUCCAAGAACGCCCUAAAGGUCUUUUAACAAAAAAUCACGCUGUAUAUAAUCGACCCUGCAGCUGAUUCCAAUUUUCUUAUUUAAAUAAAAAAACUAGUUUGAUCUAGUUUUAAAUUCGGGUGACCUCCAAUUUUGGCUGACGUCAAACAAUUUCCUAGACCCAGAGGGAGACACACCCUUUUUUUAAACAAAUAUUUUAGUCAACAGUAUUUAUUCACGUAGUAUUAUACUUAGUAUUUGCUCCGGUUAGCCUUGAGCAAAAUUCUUUCUCAGCUCCUGGUACGCGCUGAUACACAUAUGCAAAUGACGACGUUAUAUGCAAAUAUGGACCGUAUGUAUAAAUAUCAGAGAGGAUCCGGGUUUAGUAACCAAACUACUCUCGUUGCUGGCUCACUCGAUUAGUCGUGCUGACGUGCUGUCUGAAUAUUAUAUCAUUCCGCCAAAAUGGAUUCACCCAGUAGCGCAAGACGGGCGGCGGCGGCGGAUGAGUCUAAGAAGAAAAGUUCGACAUCCGCCGGCAGCGUCAAAAGUCACCGGAUCGUUGCCACUGCAGUUUUUAUCGUCUGGAAAGUGGAAAAAGCUUAAAAUGCCGAUUGGCUUAAUUGUUGCGUCAUCUCCAGUCAUGUUCUCAAAUUUGGAUUCCGUCUUUGUCAUUGUGGAAUUGAACACUUCCGGAUUAUUUUAAAAUUAUCUUCAGACUCGAACCGGCUCGGAAAUAAUUUUCAGCCUUUUUAAAAAAUUGUAAUUUCAAUUGUGUACCGUGUAAGAAAAUAUUAUUUUUGCUAUAACUAAUAAAAAUGUGAAACUUUCUAAAAUUUCUGGU